UAAAAGUAUAACAGAAAUUGCAAGAUAUGCCAGCCCUUAAAAUCCUCUUGCUUGCAUUGUUACAGAUACUAUGUCAUAUCAGUACCAAGAUUUUCCUGUUACACAAAGAAUUUGAAUGACAAAUGCCCUUGUAUAUUGCUCAACAUUUAAUAUUCAUUUUCCUAUAUUUUUUGUUAUAAACAAAAUCACCAGAUAGUACAAGCAUGUAGCAUUAAACAUGAGAACAAGUGCUAACGAAAAUGAUACAGCUGCAAAAUGACGCAUGAUCAAAAAGUGCAGCUUAAAAGUCGAUGUUGUACGGAUGGGGAUAAUCUUUUAAUGAUCUUCCUCGUAUCUCGUAUAUUCCAAUCGCAAGUGUUACACACAUUUUAUAUUACCUAAAAAGGUGCUACAUUCUCAGCUUAGCAUUAGUCCCGGCAAUUACUGUGACAAGAAUUUCAAUUGCCUUUAAGGAAGCCCCAGAGUAAAAAAUUAUAUAUACAACAGACAUUGGAUAACCUAAAAAUAUAAAGCCAAGUAAUUGAAUAUGUCACCUCUCCAACAUCCCAACCAUUCAAAAAUUCAUUCAUCACUUUCCCAUGCUUAAGUUCAUAUAAGUUUAUUUGGAGUGUCCUUCUGCAGCUUCAAUAACAACUGCUUUUACUUUUAACAUAUUUAUUUAGCAUCAAUAGCAACUUAUGCAUAAGCUCUGCCACAUAUUUUUAAAUGAUUUCACAGUUAGCAACGACCUCAUGGUAGUAGUUACUAGACAUUCACUAUUCUUCUAUGACAGUACGUGUGACUCAUAACAUGGCCUAGUCAGUUAGAUAGAGACUAUAAA
rnacentral:lncRNA from 1 species